UACGAAGGGGGCUAGCGUUGCUCGGAAUCACUGGGCGUAAAGCGCACGUAGGCGGAUCUUUAAGUCAGGGGUGAAAUCCCGAGGCUCAACCUCGGAACUGCCUUUGAUACUGGGGAUCUCGAGUCCGGGAGAGGUGAGUGGAACUGCGAGUGUAGAGGUGAAAUUCGUAGAUAUUCGCAAGAACACCAGUGGCGAAGGCGGCUCACUGGCCCGGAACUGACGCUGAGGUGCGAAAGCGUGGGGAGCGAACAGG
rnacentral:rRNA from 1 species